UGUGAGUGAUGAAGGUUUUCGGAUCGUAAAGCUCUGUCGGGUGGAAAGAAUAAAGGCUGUGUAAAUAAUGCAGUCUGAUGACGGUACCACCAAAGGAAGCACCGGCUAACUCCGUGCCAGCAGCCGCGGUAAUACGGAGGGUGCAAGCGUUGUUCGGAAUUAUUGGGCGUAAAGGGCGUGUAGGCGGGUAUGCAGGUCAGAUGUGAAAUCCCUCGGCUCAACCGAGGAAGUGCAUUUGAAACCGUAUAUCUUGAGUACGAGAGAGGCAGAUGGAAUUCCCAGUGUAGAGGUGAAAUUCAUAGAUAUUGGGAAGAACACCGGUGGCGAAAGCGGUCUGCUGGCUCGAUACUGACGCUGAGACGCGAAAGCGUGGGGAGCAAACAGGAUUAGAUACCCUGGUAGUCCACGCCGUAAACGAUGUGCACUAGGUGUUGGGGGUAAUUAAACCUUCAGUGCCGCAGCUAACGCAUUAA
rnacentral:rRNA from 1 species